rnacentral:rRNA from 1 species
UAUAACGGUCCUAAGGUAGCGAAAUUCCUUGUCGGGUAAGUUCCGACCCGCACGAAAGGCGUAACGAUUUGGGCACUGUCUCAACGAGAGACUCGGUGAAAUUUUAGUACCUGUGAAGAUGCAGGUUACCCGCGACAGGACGGAAAGACCCCAUGGAGCUUUACUGUAGUUUGAUAUUGAGUGUCUGUACCGCAUGUACAGGAUAGGUAGGAGCCGUAGAAAUCGGAACGCUAGUUUCGAUGGAGGCGCUGGUGG